rnacentral:rRNA from 1 species
UCGAACGCGAAAGUGGAGCAAUCCAUGAGUAGAGUGGCAAACGGGUGAGUAACGCGUGGGUGACCUGCCUUCGAGUGGGGGAUAACGUUCCGAAAGGGACGCUAAUACCGCAUGACAUCCGGCCUUUGAAGAGGCGGAGAUCAAAGCUGGGGAUCGCAAGACCUAGCGCUCGAUGAGGGGCCCGCGUCUGAUUAGCUAGUUGGUGGGGUAACGGCUCACCAAGGCAACGAUCAGUAUCCGGCCUGAGAGGGCGGACGGACACACUGGGACUGAGACACGGCCCAGACUCCUACGGGAGGCAGCAGUGGGGAAUUGUUCGCAAUGGGCGCAAGCCUGACGACGCAACGCCGCGUGGAGGAUGAAGAUCUUCGGGUCGUAAACUCCUUUCGAUCGAGACGAACAGCCUUCGGGUAAACAAUCCGGAGGUCUGACGGUACCGAGAGAAGAAGCCCCGGCUAACCCCGUGCCAGCAGCCGCGGUAAUACGGGGGGGGCAAGCGUUGUUCGGAAUUACUGGGCGUAAAGGGCUCGUAGGCGGCCAACUAAGUCAGACGUGAAAUCCCUCGGCUUAACCGGGGAACUGCGUCUGAUACUGGAUGGCUUGAGUUUGGGAGAGGGAUGCGGAGUUCCAGGUGUAGCGGUGAAAUGCGUAGAUAUCUGGAGGAACACCGGUGGCGAAGGCGGCAUCCUGGACCACACUGACGCUGAG